GCCCCGCUGUUCAAUAUGUAAAGUCAGUAGCAUUGUUCUAUACUUUCUGCUCGGAGUUUGAGAGCCAGUCACUUCUCAAGCGCCUGCUCGGCCGUGACAACUCUCAAAUGGUGAAAUGAUGCAAGGCUGCCUCUGAGCUAAGCCUGCUCGCCCUGCUCCUGCAUGCAGUGCCUAUGCAGGUGGUCACUCCAGAACUGGACUCUGGUGAGGCAGAAUGGGGAGAUUGCACUGUGUCUUCCUAGACUCUACCUGCUUUUUGGGGAAGGAAGAAACUUUAUUCUCCACAGUUCUCAGUCCAGCCCUGAAUUCACUAUUAAUAGCCCCUGUUGCAUUCUGCUCUUGGCCUCGGAAGGAAGGGGAUGAGAGUUUACGACAACAGCCAAGUGCAGAGCUGGCUGCAGCCAUGCAUUUGCUGAGCAUGGAGAGAAGAAAGACAGGACCAGGUUGUGACAGCUGCCGCAAGAGGCUGUUGAAUCCAAGACUUUAGUAAGGUCCAAGGAGGGAUUGGACGUUGCUAUGGAUAACAAGGCCACCCAGAGUUAUAAUAGUUAA